rnacentral:rRNA from 1 species
UCGGGAAUUUUGCCCAAUGGACGAAAGUCUGAGGCAGCAACUCCGCGUGAGGGAUGAAGGCUCUCGGGUCGUAAACCUCUUUUCUCAGGGAAGAUUCAAGACGGUACCUGAGGAAUAAGCCACGGCUAACUACGUGUCCAGCAGCCGCGGUAAUACGUAGGUGGCAAGCGUUGUCCGGAUUUACUGGGCGUAAAGAGCGCGCAGGCGGCUGGUCAAGUCCGAUGUGAAAUCUCCCGGCUCAACUGGGAAACUGCAUCGGAAAACUGAUCGGCUUGAACGGUGGGAGAGGGUAGUGGGAAUUCCCGGUGUAGUGGUGAAAUGCGUAGAUAUCGGGAGGAACACCAGUGGCGAAGGCGACUACCUGGCCCAUUCUUGACGCUGAGGCGCGAAAGCUAGGGGAGCGAACGGGAUUAGAUACCCCGGUAGUCCUAGCCGUAAACGAUGAACACUAGGCGUAGUCGGUAUCGACCCCGGCUGUGCCGUAGCUAACGCAC